AAGUCGUAACAAGGUCUCCGUAGGUGAACCUGCGGAGGGAUCAUUACUGAGUGAGGGCUCACGCCCGACCUCCAACCCUUUGUGAACCAAACUUGUUGCUUCGGGGGCGACCCUGCCGACGACUUCGUCGCCGGGCGCCCCCGGAGGUCUUCUAAACACUGCAUCUUUGCGUCGGAGUUUAAACAAAUUAAACAAAACUUUCAACAACGGAUCUCUUGGUUCUG
rnacentral:misc_RNA from 1 species